rnacentral:rRNA from 1 species
GGAUUAGAUACCCUGGUAGUCCACGCCGUAAACGAUGGAUACUAGUUGUUUGGCCGCAAGGCUGAGUGACUAAGCGAAAGUGAUAAGUAUCCCACCUGGGGAGUACGAACGCAAGUUUGAAACUCAAAGGAAUUGACGGGGGCCCGCACAAGCGGUGGAGCAUGUGGUUUAAUUCGAUGAUACGCGAGGAACCUUACCAGGGCUUAAAUGUAGUCUGACCGCUUUGGAAACAGAGCUUUCGCAAGACAGAUUACAAGGUGCUGCAUGGUUGUCGUCAGCUCGUGCCG